rnacentral:tRNA from 1 species
GUCUGGGUGGUGUAGUUGGUCAUCACGCUAGUCUCACACACUAGAGGCCCCCGGUUCGAACCCGGCUCGGACA